ACCCAACGGUGCCUUCACCGGUACAGCGGCGCAGUGAGCGGCAAAAGCUCAAAUUUGAAAUCUGGCACCUUCGGUGUCCGAGUUGUAAUUUGAAGAAGGUAACUUUGGAGUUGGCUCUUGUCUAUGUUCCUUGGAACAGGACGUCACAGAGGGUGAGAAUCCCGUGCGAUGAGAUGCCCAAUUCUAUGUAAAGUGCUUUCGAAGAGUCGAGUUGUUUGGGAAUGCAGCUCUAAGUGGGUGGUAAAUUCCAUCUAAAGCUAAAUAUUGGCGAGAGACCGAUAGCGAACAAGUACAGUGAUGGAAAGAUGAAAAGAACUUUGAAAAGAGAGUGAAAAAGUACGUGAAAUUGUUGAAAGGGAAGGGCUUGAGAUCAGACUUGGUAUUUUGCGAUCCUUUCCUUCUUGGGUGGGCUCCUCGCAGCUUACUGGGCCAGCAUCGGUUUGGAUGGUAAGAUAAUGACUAAGGAAUGUGGCUCUACUUCGGUGGAGUGUUAUAGCCUUGGUUGAUACUGCCUGUCUAGACCGAGGACUGCUUCUUUUGACUAGGAUGUUGGCAUAAUGAUCUUAAGCCCCCCGUCUUGAAACACAAGACCAA
rnacentral:rRNA from 1 species